rnacentral:rRNA from 2 species
UGAGGAAUAUUGGUCAAUGGGCGCAAGCCUGAACCAGCCAUGCCGCGUGAAGGAAGAAGGCCCUAAGGGUUGUAAACUUCUUUUGUAGGGGGGUAAUACUAGGCUCGUGAGCUUGGAUGAAAGUACUCUACGAAUAAGCGUCGGCUAACUACGUGCCAGCAGCCGCGGUAAUACGUAGGACGCAAGCGUUAUCCGGAUUCAUUGGGUUUAAAGGGUGCGUAGGCGGGCCUUUAAGUCAGUGGUGAAAGUUUGCCGCUUAACGGUAAGAUUGCCAUUGAUACUGGAGGCCUUGAGUGCAGAUGAGGUAGGCGGAAUGUGUAGUGUAGUGGUGAAAUACUUAGAUAUUACACAGAACACCGAUUGCGAAGGCAGCUUACUAAAUUGCAACUGACGCUGAGGCACGAAAGCGUGGGGAUCAAACAGG